rnacentral:rRNA from 1 species
GUAAGGAAUAUUGGACAAUGCCCGCAAGGGUGAUCCAGCCAUGCCGCGUGCAGGAAGACGGCCCUAUGGGUUGUAAACUGCUUUUGUACCGGAGAAAACCUCCCCUCGUGAGGGGAGCUGAUAGUAUGGUAAGAAUAAGCAUCGGCUAACUUCGUGCCAGCAGCCGCGGUAAGACGAAGGAUGCAAGCGUUAUCCGGAUUCAUUGGGUUUAAAGGGAGCGUAGGUGGGUUUGUAAGUCAGUGGUGAAAGCCGGUCGCUUAACGAUCGAAUUGCCAUUGAUACUGCAGACCUUGAGUACAGAUGCUGUGGGCGGAAUAUGACAUGUAGUGGUGAAAUACAUAGAGAUGUCAUAGAACACCGAUUGCGAAGGCAGCUCACAAAACUGUAACUGACACUGAGGCUCGAAAGUGCGGGGAUCAAACAGGAUUAGAAACCCCGGUAGUCC